CUCUUUCUCCCUCCCUUCCCCUCUCUAAAAGCAAAUAAAUAAAAUCUUUAAAAAACAAAAAUAAAAAGGAGUUUAUUCCAAACUCCUUACAGAGGUCCCUCUUGAUUCAGCUCCACUGACCUCCAGGCCUACUCUUCUACCUCUCCCCUAGCCACCUUCCAGCUCUACCAGCAUCCACAGCAGCUCCUGGAACUCACCGUGCUCUGGACGGUGAGCUUGGAACUUCUGGACUUGGAACUUCCUUUUCCCUCUUUCUGCCAUUCUUUUCCCCUUCUCCUCAUGGGGCUUGUUUGUAUUUGUCUUUUGGUGUUGGUGCUUCCUGAAACACUCUCUUCCCUGAUCUUUUGUCACCAUAAUUCUCAUUGUUUCCCCUUUCCUUCCCGGUCCUCUUUGCCAGCUCCAUUUCUUCUUGGCCUCUUUAGCUUAGCCUUUGGCUUCCUAUUCGCUCAUAUGGGGCAAACUCCUUCCCACCCUCUGCUUCAGUUCCAUCACUCUGUCUUGACUCUCACAUGUCGACCUCUAGCCCAGACUUCUCUCUGAGCACAACGUUCACAGAGCAUUCUUCAAAACAAAACCCCAACCUUCUCCAGGACAUGCAAACCCUCAGCAGACGACACUUUGUCCUUCUUACUGGGCAGGACAGAUCUAGCUUCUCUCUCUGCAACCCAAACACUCUUUAUUGUACCACUCUUCCCUUCUGACCAUGAACACAGUGGCCCUGUACCUGAUCUCCCUGCAAAGUGCCCUGUGCCUCUUUCACAAUUCCCUUCUCAAAGAUAACUCUGAUGUUACUCCUUAAUGAAAAUCCUUCAGAGGCAUCCCAUUGCUCUAGGGAUGAAGACCACACUAUUUAAGCUCAGGCUCAGCUUAUCUGACCAGGGCUCACACCCAUCCUUGCCCUCUGUGCUCCAGCCUCCGUGGCCUGUCAGUGCCUCCCCCCAGGGCCCCUCCCUUGCUUGCCUAACGGGGAGUGUGCCCUCCUCACAAUCCCAUAGUUGGUGCCUAGUUACCACAUCUAUUUCUUUCCACAGAAAUCUCACUCGUCAAGGAAAGCUUUUCUAAUAAACUAGACCAAAAUCCUGAUGUGGGCAUUUUGGUGCCCCGUUUCUUCCUUCCCAGCUCUUCUCACAGUUUGCUGUGAAGGUUUGAAUAAUUCAUUGACUCACAAGACUGAAAGCCCCCAAGGCUAGGGACUGGGCCUGUUUCCUUUUGUAUCCUACAGGCCCAACAAGGAUAGGCACUCCAUAAAUAGAAAUGUGAAAUUUGAGGGGGAGGAAACAGACAAGAAGAGUAGAACAGAAAGUACAUGGGAUAAAGAAGGACCUAGCAUGGCUGGGAUGCAGGAUCCAGGAACAUGGAGCUGGAAAGGCCAACUGAUGUCAGAUUAAGGAAUUCAGGUUUGAUUUUUGUGAAUUGAACGUCAGCCAAGCUUUCAAGGAAGGACAGCAGUGAAAUGAUCAGCUCAUUGGAGAAUAAAUGGGAUGAUGUAGUACAUUCAAAAAAGCUUUCAACAAUCAGUUUGGGUUGAUACUGGCUAUAUCUCUGAGAAGAAGGAAAUUUGGGGUGGAUUAUAAUUUUGGGGUACUAAACGAGUCUUUGAUAUCACUAGUAUAAGUGAAGAACACUGGAAGACUUUCCACUUAGCAAUCAUAGUGUUUCAUCCAUUGCUCAUUAAAAUGCAGAGGCCUGUGAUUAUAGGCAGUGGAGCACUUCUGCUUUUUUUUAAGCAAGGAAUCCAAACAUUUUUGCAGGGAUUCAUUUUUUUUUAACAGGUGUUUACUAAAGUGAGCAAGGAUUUGGAGCUGUUUGGAGCUUCAGUGGCAGAUGAAACCACCUUGGGGUACAAGCGUGAGUUAUACCCUGAAGGCUGCUGCAGCAGGAUGCCCACACAGCACGCAGACCACCUUUACACCUGCAGAGCUGAGGGGAUCUUGGCUGUAGGUAAGAGGAAGCAUGCCACUGCCUUGGAGCAGGGCAGGCUGCAUGGAAAACAAGCAGGAUUUCUGCCCCCUUGAACUUGGGACUGCACUGGAAAUCAGGGGCAGCACGCAGAAGCAGUCCGCAGUGGCUUGAGGUGAUCUGGUUCAUUUCUGUGUGGUCUGGUUCAGAACUUCCUAUGCCUGAGCUUCAUACACAGACUGAAUGAUGGAGAUUUUCCCAGUCCUACGGAAGGCAGGUGCAGGUGUGGGGAGGAACUCAACUACAAUCUGGAAAAAGGAGGCUAACUUCCUACUUGGGCUUCAGGGAGAAGAGGACAAAUUUGCACCAAUGUUCACCCCCUCCCCUGCCCAAGGACUACUUGGGGAAAAACCAUGACACCCUAGUACUUUAUAUCCUGGACACAGAGGACCAAAAGGAGGGCUGAACCCUCCUUUGAACUGAUGAGACUGGGCUAGAGUUCUCAGGCCCACCAGAAAUAGUCCCCAAGUUAAUGCCUCAGAGCUGUGUGGAGGUGGUUUGCACGUGAGGCCUGGCCUCAGAGACUGGCUGGGGCGGGGGGUGGGGGUGGGGGGAACGCCUGAUGCUUUCAGUUCCCCAAGCCUGUGGAGAAGCCUUUGUUGCAUCCCUGGCAGAGUGUGGGUUUUAAGUAAUACCUUGAUUUACAGAUCCCCGAGGAGGCGUGUGUGUAAGGAGGGCAGAGAACUGAACCUCAGGAACACCUAUGGUCCUUAGGGAGCAGGGGAAGGACUGUCGGCAGAGCCCCUGUAGGCCAGUUGCAGAGGCAGAACCAGCAGGUUUAUUAUCAAGGUUGCCAGUGUUUGGAGUGCUUGAGAAGGGAUGCUUUGGGGCAGGACUGGAGUGUAUGGAUAAUCCUUGGGAACACCCGAGAAGGGGGUUGGAAGGGGAAGAGAGCACUAGGAGUCUCUGAGACAAUAGCUGGCUGAUUGUCAAGUCAAAUGAAAGAAGAGAAUCAUAUUACCCUGAGGAGUCAAGGGACACAAUGUCCAGUCCCAAUAGCUAAUGGGACUUCAAAAAUGGGAGCCACCCAGAGCAGUGUGACAGCUAGUAUACCUGAGCCUCCUGGGUGACUUUAAAGAACUCCCAGUUCUAGGCAUCAAUCUUCCAGUUGGCAAAAUACAGUGGGAAUACCACUUAGUACUAAGUCACAUCUGUUUUAACACCUUAAAGUGUAUUCAGCCACUUCGGGCUCCUGCGGCACUGGAGACGGUAGGACCAUCUGAGUGCAAGGCCUGCGCGUCCUUUCCUAACCUUGGGCUCUGGGACCCUCGUAGGAGCUCUCCCACUAGACAGGGCACACAACCCGGGCCUAGGCCUCUGCCCCGGACAUCUGUGCAGCACGGAGGUAAGGCCCAGCUGGCCCUGCCUGCCCCUUCCCUCAGCCCGGACAGCUAGUCUGCAACAUCCUAUGGUGGGUCUUUAGUCAGGAACUAAAACUCAUCAGCUGUUCAGCCAAGUGAGGCCAGGUGAGUCUCCUCAGGACUUGGGAGAAUUCUCAGAUGCCACCUCAACCCCCACAAGCAGUUUCUCUCUCAGCCCCUUCCCAUUGCUCUUAUACAGUCUUAAACCACGCUGUACCUACAGACCUACAUUUGCUUAGUUUAAAAAAUUCUUUAAUAAAAUAGAUACAUGAAGCUUAAAAUUGCUGCCUAGUGAUACAUUUGAAAUUUAUUAUAAAACUCAGGAUCAGAAUGCUUCAAAGUCAAAAUUUUACCUUUGUAAGGUGGAAAAAGCCAGGUGUUGUCUUUCAGUUUUAACAUGUGGUGGGAUGGAAGCACCAUCUGACUCGGACCGGUCAGAAGUCUGCCAGCAGCCAGGCAGCCAGAAAGCCACCUCGUCUCACAGACAGUGGGGAAGGGAGCAUGUGCUAAGCACCCGCCUUCACCACCUCUCCCGUGGCACGUGCUGAGCUCUAUCCUGAUGAAGAAACACUCUGUUCCUCACCUGCCCACAGGCAACUCAGCUGGUGCUGCUGGGCUGGGAUUCCAACCCAGGUCUGUGGGCUCAGAACCCAGGUCCUUCCCACCAAACUAGUGGUUUUAAAAUAGCUUUUGUGGCAGUGCUUCAGGGGCUCUUUGCAAACACUUCCUUCAAAUGUCAUUUUAAAUACUAAAAAAGAAAAUCAUUAAUUGUAUCUUCAGGUACAGAAUAUGUAUUCACUUAGGCUCCCUGAGACCUCACAGUAAGGCCUCUGUUGCUGUGCCUGGGUGGGCUCCUCAGGGUCGCUGAUCUAGGUAGAGGGCCCCAGCUCAGCUCUGUUCACCAAGCCCAGCUGCAACUUGGUGUCGGUGGCUCGCACCAUAAAAUAAUUGCAGUGAUUGUAACCUCUGGAUGAUUCUUACCUGAUAUAUGGAGGAUGAGGACUGAAAGCAGGUGUUGGAUAUUCUAUUAAUCCAUCUUUUCAAGCACCUACUUCAGUCCUGUCAAUAAUAACCAGAGACUGCAGGCAAGCUGUGACUAUUACUAUUGGCAACCACCUUUCUAUAUACAAUCAGGACUUUUUUUUUCCCCCACAUCAAACCCAGAAAUAAAAUAGAUGCUAAGAUAGUUCACAGCUAACCCAUUGGCACUAGUCAAAAAUGCUCCCUUUCAAUCCCACUGAUUUAUGACAUAAC